AGCAGCCGCGGUAAUUCCAGCUCCAAUAGCGUAUAUUAAAGUUGUUGCAGUUAAAAAGCUCGUAGUUGAAUUUCGGGGUCAGUAGGUUGGUCGUGCCACUGGUAUGCACUGGUCUCACUGAUUCCUCCUUCCUGAUGAACCGUAAUGCCAUUAAUUUGGUGUUGCAGGGAAUCUGGACUGUUACUUUGAAAAAAUUAGAGUGUUUAAAGCAGGCUAACGCUUGAAUACAUUAGCAUGGAAUAAUGAAAUAGGACGAUCGAUCCUAUUUUGUUGGUUUCUAGGAUUGACGUAAUGAUUAAUAGGGAUAGUUGGGGGCAUUAGUAUUCAAUUGUCAGGGGUGAAAUUCUUGGAUUUAUUGAAGACUAACUACUGCGAAAGCAUUUGCCAAGGAUGUUUUCAUUAAUCAAGAACGAAAGUUAGGGGAUCGAAGACGAUCAGAUACCGUCGUAGUCUUAACCAUAAACUAUGCCGACUAGGGAUCGGAUGAUGUUAAUUUUUAAUGACUCAUUCGGCGCCUUAA
rnacentral:rRNA from 1 species